ACCUAAUUGUCAAUUUGGUGAACAAAUUCAGUAACCUAAAUUCAAUUUUUGCAAAACCUAAUGAAUUCAAUUUAUGCAAAACCUAAACAUGAAAUUCAUAGGGUUCAAAUCCAAAGCACAAUUAGUGAAAAGGAACUAAAUUAGAGUGUUGAAAUUUAAGAUACACUACAAUCGGAGAAGAAACAGAGGAGAACAUCAAAUUUCAACGAAGAAUAACAACCACGAGAGGGAUAGAAAACGAACAACAAUUUAUAGAGAGAAGGAGAAAUACAACGAAGAGAAUCGAGUCCAUGUCGGAGCGAGAUCGUGAACGGAGCAAGACCGGAGCGAGAUUGCAGCGAGAAUGAGAUCGGAGCGAGAUUGCAGCGAGAAUGAGAUCGGAGCGAGGUCGCAGUGUGGAGGAGAUCGGAGCGAGGUCGGGAGCGGUUUCACCGUAGAGAGUAAAAGCGGUGUCGUGUUCUAAGAUAACAAUGAGAUAAGG
rnacentral:lncRNA from 1 species